AUGAAGAUGGUGAACUGUGGGAGUACUUCCCUUGCUCUUUCUUCUACAUCAAGGUCAAAAAAGCCCUUCAUCUGCAUCCAUCUGCGGCAGGAACACUGCUUUGACAUCAGGAACUCUCACGAGGGAGAUUGGACUAACUGCAAGAAAAAAAGCUCAGUUCUACAGACAGCCCCCACCGCCCACAUGGAUUACUUCCUCCGGUCCUCAUCCAGCGGCCAAAUCCCGACACACCUGAUAGUUGAAACUUACACAUGGCCUGCGACCAACUGCGCCGCCUCUAGAAGCUCCUUGGGAAUGACUUGGUAG
rnacentral:rRNA from 1 species